GGGUGAAUUUCACGCGAGCUUUCCGGGCCGAUAUCUCCCUUAAUAUUGAGUGUAGCGUUAUGACGAGGCCAGAAAUGGAUUUCUCGUCUUAUUUUACCCAAGAAGAGUCGCCGUUUGCAUGAAAAUAGCUUCAAAUAACAUAAAUAUAAUUGAUUUUCAUGUUUUUUUGAUAAUUUCACGCUAGUUUUCCGUGCCGAUAUCUCCUUUAAUAUUUAGUGUAUCGUUAUGCCGAGGCCAGAAAUGGAUUCCUCGUCUCGUUUCCUUCUCGUUUAGUCGCCUUUUGCAGGACAUGGCCGCUUUUUAUUUUAUUUUUUUUAUUUUUCUAGGGACCCAAAGUAUAACACUUUCACCUCAAGUACGAGAGUCCAGUGCGGGACACCUGCCGAUUUCUGAGCCCCACACUGCUUUUAUCACCCAAAUAACCGCCUUCACAUAUGAUUGUUGUUUAAAGGGUUAAUUAUUGGGGCUUCUUGGCAUCAGGUAUGGGUCAGAAAACGGUAAAUGCGCGGCUCUGAGUACGAUAAUCUAGCAUCGGUGCGCGGUAAAAAAUCAUAACACCACACGGCUGAUCGUCCACGGAGUGACUCCUUCACGACGUGUUUUAAGAGGUGUUUGCAGUGUGUUUGGGGGGCUGUGAGGAGGAGGAGGAGGGAGGCUGUGGUGAGGUGGAGACUUGACAACACUACCAUCGCCAUCAGGCCAGGCUAAGGCCAAGCAGUGCAGAGGAGAAGGAGGAGGAAGAAGAAGAGGAGGAUGUGAGUUCUAUACAUAAAGGCAGAUCAAUAUAUAGAAGCUUAUGGAGUAGAGGAAAUAUGUCAUUCUAUGUAUUAAAGAGGAUAAGAGGGAGGAGAAGGUUAACUUGUAAAUAUAGGCAGAAGUUUAUGUGCCAAGGAAAAUAUUUAAAUGAUUUGUAUUAUGCAUGUAUUGAAAUGUUAUGAACUUGGAUGUUUGUAUGUAUAAGGCUAUGGGAUUUACUUACAAGGUCUGUGGUGUUUUUUUUACUUAUAAGGUUGUACUUAGGAUUUUACUUAUAAGUUCUGUGGCUGUGGGUACCUCCUACAAAGCCUUUCUACUAUGGCUAUUAAUUAACAAAAUCCUCUUUCUUUCAGCUUGUGUACUGGCUCAGAAAGUAGUGAAAGGGUGCAUGUUAUCGAUGAAGGCUAUAUCAAUAAGUAUGGAAGUGCGUUAUGGCUAUUAACAACAAUCUCUCUUUCAGCAUGUGUACGGGGAUAGAAAGUUACUUGGCAUAUAUUGAAAUGUCAUGCACUGAGAGUAUUUACGUAAAGGGCCGGGGCUAUUUCUUGUAAGGUACUGCGCAUGAUUUUACAUAUACAGCCUUUAGUGUUUCUUUAGGUUAAGGUAUUUCCUAUCCCAGCACGUAUAAGAAACUUGGGUAUGGAUUUAUGUGUGAGUUACUGAGUUGCAUGUAUACUAAAAUGUGUAUUUGGGAUUUUCAUCUUCUGUGUUUUAUAUAUAUAUAUAUAUAUCCUAAGAAUGGUGUUUUGUUGGGAAAGAAUGUUAUGCACUGGGGUUAUUUAUAUACAAAGUCUGUGGUUAUUUCUUCAUAAGGUAUUUCCUAUCCCAGUACGUAUAAGGAACUUGGUAUGGAUUUAAAUGUGCGUGUUACUGAGUUGCAUGUGUAUGUGCAUUCAAUGUAUUGGGGUAUAUAUUGUGUAUUGGGGGUAUUUAUUUCAAGGUUAAAGUACUGAAUGGAGGGGAAUUUAUGUAGGGGAAAGGUCUGUAGUGGGGGUGUCGUAACUAACAACCUCUCCUGCAACAACUCCUACUGGUGCUUGUGUAUAGAUUUAAUUAUGUAUUGGAGAUAUGUAUUUGAAGGUUAAGAUACUGGAUGGAAGGGUAUUUAUGUUGGGGUAAUAUGAUAAUGUCUGUAGGGAUUUGUCUUAACUUAACAACCCCUUCUGCAAUAGCUACUACUACUACUGGUGCUGUCCAUAACUUACAACACUUCCGUACUAGGAGUAUUAACAAAACCUUUUAAUUUCAGCUACCAAGGACAACCUCUGCUGCUCAUGGUAUCAACUCCUGCACUCCUGGGACUGGCAUAACAUCUGCAUGCCCUUGUAACAACUCACUCUGCUUCUGCUAUUCAUAACACCCCGUUCUGCGUCUGCUGUCGUAACAGGGCAUGGCUUCUGUAUACUAACUCCUGCUCGCAUAACCCGCAUGGAUUUACACUUCUCUCUGCUUCUGGCUUUCGUACCUAUCAACACAUUCUGCGCCUUCCUUCGUAACUAAUCCCACGGCUUCUCUGCAUGACAACUCCAGCUGCUUACGGCAAAAUUUCGCAUAACAGCUACUCCUGCUUACGUAUGACAAUUCUCUCUGGCUUCCAUAACAGCACGUAUGGCUUUUGCAUGUGAACGCAUUUCAUUUCUGCUGCUCACUAACCCACACUGCUGGCUUGAGUAUCCUAACGACCUAACCCAUUCUGUAAGCUGCCGCCCAGUGCUCCAGGUGACCCCUAACAAGCCUGUCGGAUCGGCGUCUAGCGAGGGAGGUUCCGUCAGGUUCCGUUCCCUGCUAGAGCUGUCUCCCUUCACCUUAAAAAAUAUAGUUUGACAUAUUUGAGAGCAGCAGUACAGGCCAGGUAUCAGAGAGGGGUUCAGGCCUAUAUGGGGACACCUCUGUUAGGCUUGUACCUCAAUAAAUAACUAGAAAAAAGUUGGAAAGUGUUAAACAAUGACCAUACGUAACCUAGUCAUGUGUGAAUCCUGACUAUGGAGGGAGAUUAUCCUCAAACACGUACGGUUAUAUAUAUACAUGUCUUUUACCCACCCAUGCGUGCAGUACGGGUGGUGAACUCUGACCUCUAUGAAAUAAAUAUACGUAACAGGAAAAAAAUAAAUUGGUUUAAAAUAUAUUUCCCUCAUCCAUAUUCGGCAGCAGAUAUGUACAGGUUGAAAAAACGGGUUGAUAUCUGAUGUUUGACCCCACGGUUGACCGUUCGACCCUGCGUCUAGGAUCGCUACGUCAACAUCUUCGGCUGACGUCUCCACCUUAGGGUUGAGUGUCCGUCUCUGCGUCUUUGUGUACCUGCGUUAAAAUCUUCACCACCAUAUGACGUUGAGUCUGGCGGGCACUGUUUUGAGAUCUCAAGACGGCAAUUUCCCACGGCUGUUAACCCCUUCACUACGGCUGGGCCAAACCAGCUCCCCGCGCCAUAUCCGAGUUCGCCUUGCACGCCAAAUUUCAAAUGUCGCUAUUGAAUAUAACAAGUUUUCAGCCAUAAACUCAACACAAUCAUCAUGUAUAAUAUAUGAAAACAUGCAGAAUUAAAUGGUGCACAUAGAGAAGCAUAAAUUAAUUGAUAAUGUUGAGAUGUAAGUAUAAAUAAAGAGAUAAAAUAACUUGUAUAUUGGGUCAAGUGCGCCAGAAUGCAGGUUGCACGUCCUCGGAUAUGGUACGGGGCACGCAAGGACGCAGUAUACGCGUUCUCGUGUUGAAGGGGUUAAGGGUAUGGGUCAGGCUGUCAUGGGUGGCUGUUACGUUAGCCUUCUCACGGUGUCAAGGCUCGUAAAACCACCCUUGGAAAUACUAGCAACACAGCGUAUAUGGAAAGCCUUCAAGUGAUAUAGUGACUCGUGGAAAUAUUUGCAACCUAACAUAUUUCACCCAGUGGUGGUGGUGGUAGGGAUCAUGUUUCUUAACGGUCCCUCUAAGCGAGAAAAAUGAGAAAAAAUCACCCUCACACAAACCAUUUCAUACUAUAUAUCAAAGCAUUUGUGAUCACAUUAUGCAUCAUCUAUUUUGGGGGGUUAUAUCAUGGCACAAAUUUCAGUUGUAUGUCUGUUUAUUGAGGGGACUGUUUGGGUCUUGUAUUUUCUGUUGUAUAUUUCCAAGGCCAAAAAGGUCAGUAAUUGGGUUCUCAAUGAUGUUUUUUUAGGUUGAUGGUACAGAGGAAGGGUCAUAAAAGCACCCUUGUCUGUAACUCCCCUGAAAGCCUUGUCAAAUAUGUUUUUUUGUUUUUUUUUUAUUUAUUUAUUUAUUUUUUUUUUUUUUUUACGUCAUGGCCUAUUGCUCCGGUAAGCUUCUUCCCAGUGGAUCCUGAUGGUCGGCCCAAGGCUUCUUCCCGGUGGGGCCUGAUGGUCGGCCCAGCCCGUUCUGGUGCAGGCAAGUGUUUAUAGUGGUGCCAUCUUGCAUUGGCUCAUGCUGCCCUCCCGGAGCUCAUCUUUAAUCCUAGAAUCUAGAGUCCGGGUUGGUAGGUGGUCUUCUGGACAGCAUGUGGGUAGUUUUAACCCGGUAGCAGCGGGGAUCAUGUUUCUUAAUGGUCCCUCUAAGCGGGAAAAAUGGGAAAAAUCAUCACUCACGCAAACCAUUUCAUAAUAAUAUAUAUCAGCAUUUGUGACAAGUUUAUGUAUCAUCUAUUUUGGGGGGUUCAAAUCAUGGCACAAAUUUGGCCCAUCGCUGCUACACGGUAAAGCCACAAAUUUGGCCCGUCCCUGCUACCGGGUUAAGCCACUCGGCGGCCUUUGGUGAGUGAAAUUUACCCUUCAUAGCCAGUGGAUAGCUGCAACCACAUAGAUUUCUGAUCCCAGUAUGUAUAUUUUGGGGGGCGGAAUAUUUUAAAGUGAGUGAGAUCUUCAUUGAGCAAGGGUUGAUGUAGGAGAAUCAAUUAUUUCCCCAUACAGUAUUUAAAGAGACUGACUAUUUGGAAAGGCUUCGUACACUCAGAAUUUGCCAUGUUUAACCCUUGAAAGCUUAGUUCUGGCUAGAUAUCAAGCUUUAAAGCAUCACAUUGAGCAAGGGUUGAUGUAGGAGAAUUAAUUAUUUCCCCAUACAGUAUUUAAAGAGACUGACUAUUUGGAAAGGCUUCGUACACUCAGAAUUUGCCAUGUAAGUUCAUAGGAGAAUUAAUUAUCUCCUCAAACAACAUAUAAGAAGGGAUUUGACUAUUUAAAAAGGCCUCAAACACAGAAUUUGCCAUGUCUCUACAGUUGAAGGUCCAGCACCGCUUUUAGUCAAAGUUCUCAAGCUUAAAAAAUAACACGCUUGAUGUAAAGGAAUGAAUUAUCUCCCCCAAACUAUUUAAAGAGAGAUUUUGAGUGCUUGAAGAGGCCUCAGACUCAUAGAAUUUGCCACGUCCUUACAGUUGAAGGUCCAUAGCUGCUUUUAGUCAAAGUUCUUAAGCUUAAAAAUAACAGAGGAUUGAUGUAGAAGAAUGAUUUACCUGCCCAAACAGUAUGUACCCAGCCCCCUCAAGUCCCCUGUGCAGUCCCACCCCCAGUCUCAGCUCCCAAUGACCUUUAUUCUGGGGGUCAAAGACAUUAAAUAUAAGUGUUUUCCCUUCCCAUGUCAGCCCUAAGACCCUCAGGCCCCCAGUAAUUGGUCACCUAACCUAACCUAGCAAGUGUGUUAGCAUAAUACUGGUGGUAACAUUUUAAUUAACCUUUCCAAUGAGCAAAAAGAAUUAAUAUGGAACUGAAUCAAAUAUCCCCAGCAAUUAAGUCUCCACUUUGUUAUGUAACAUUAGUAAGGGUUCCAGUAUAUGUUAGAUAAUUACUAGCAUUGUCAAGAACAGUUUUAAUAGCCUUGUCAAGGGUUGGCCGAGAAAACAAUAUUAUAACAAGCACUGAACUAAUUCUUGAGUAAUUGGACUGAGAAAGCCUUGAUGGUACUCUAUUUUUGCUAUAUUAUAAAAAGUCUAUAAGCGAUGCCUUGGAAAGCUACCAUAAGCAAGGGUUGGUCUAGAUUAUUGAUGUCCAAGCUAUUAAUUAUAUGUAUUUUCUCUUACCUGAAGCCCCCUAGCUCAAGCCCUCAGACCCUCGAUCAGCCUCUUCCAGACCCCCCCCCAGUAGCUACCUUAUUUUCUGGGGGAUCAAAACCAUUAAUUAUGUGUUAGUUUUGAUAAUUACCUAACAUUAAGUGUAUUACCAUGGGGUGUGGUCAGUGUCGACAUCUGUGAAGCCUUAAUUAUCAUGAGCAUAGUUUUAUAUCAAGCACUAACUCUUGGGUAAGACUUUGAGAAGGUCUUAAUGUACUCAAUCUUUGGCAUAUAAAAACAAGUCUAGCAAUGCCUUAGGAAGAUACCAUGAGCAAGGGGUGAGUUAGGAAACUGAUAUACCUAUCCCUCAAUACUGCAUAAACAAUGGAUCGAGGUCUUGUUCAGUAUAUAUAUCAGGCACAAUUGUCCAUCUUUUGAGUUAGUUUAUCAAAGACAUAUCACAAUCUUCUACCAUGAGCAAGGGAUGAGUUAGCAGCUUGACAUAUAUUCCUUAAUACUACAUAGACAAUGGAUCGAGGUCUUGUUCAGUAUAUAUAUCAGGCACAAUUGUCCAUCUUUUGAGUUAGUUUAUCAAAGACAUAUCACAAUCUUCUACCAU